AUUUUCUGCUUGCUUUUUCUUUGGUUUUGCAUCUCCCUUCAUGUGAAACGUACCUUCUAUAGUUGGGAUCUCAAUCUUAACUGAACAAACAAAUCUCGGCUCAUUUUUUGGCCCUUUUUGUUCCUCAACACUGGAAAGAGUUAAUAAGGUACGUUAGUGCUUACUUAAGCACCAAAAGUGAAAAACAGCUAGACUCACAUUGAUCUUACAAGUAUAGUAUGUGAUUUCUCUACCCAAUAUUGUAAGAGUUCUAACCAUUUUUUGAGAUUAUAAGACUCUAGACUAUUCAAAGACAUUAGUUUGAGUUUGGAUCAUGGUCCUUAUUAACCAGUAAGUAGUAACUAGAAAAGAAAGAUUCCUGCUAAAGCAAAGAGAAAGGUUGGAAAAAAUAUACCUGAAAACAGGGUUCGACCACUUAUUUUUUGCGCAUAUCUCAAACAACUUCCCUUUCACAUCUUCGGGUUCAUCUUCGGGUUCAACUUCCCUAUCCUGAUCAAUAACCAUUUGUUUUGUUGUCAUUGCAUAGGUUGACGGGUUCUCAGCAGCAGUGGACAACGAAGAUGAUCCAGUCUGUGUCUGAAGCCUUUUAGUAGAGCAAAUAUCAAACAACUUCUCUUUCACAUCUUCAGGUUCAACAUGUAUACUAUUCUCAUCAAUAACCAUUUGUUCUUGUGUCAGUUCAUCGGUUAAAUGGUUAUCAAAGGCAAUGGGCAACAAUGAUGAUUCAGUCUGUAAUUGAAGCUUUUCAGUGGAGCAAAUAUCAAACAACUUCCCUUUCACAUCUUCAGGUUCAACAUGAGAACAAUCCUCGUUAAUAACCAUUUGUUCUUGAGUCAUUCCAUCUGUUGAAGGCUUCACAGAGGCUGUGGGGAUAGAAGAUGAUUCAGUCUGUAGUUGGAACUUUUCAGUAGAGCAAAUAUCAAACGACUUCCUUUUCACAUCUUCUGGUUCCACUAGUGGACUAACGUCAUCAGAAAUCUUUUUAAUGGGCAUACAUUCUGACAGCUUCUGCACCGCUUUCUCCGCAGCAAGCAGCUUUGACGUUUCUAUAUGUUUAGCACACCCAGAAGCUAUAAAUAUAUCAUCAAGAUAUACCUCUGUGAUAUUUUUUCUGAUGUCGACAUCUUUCGAGUACCUAAAGUCGAUUUGCUUGCCGUGUUUAUGAGCCAAACGAAAAAGUGUAGCAUAUUGUGGGCUAGGUUGCAGCCGUAAAUCAUCCAGUGUAUAUAUUGGCUCGAACAGACCCCUGAAGACCUGCAAAUUUCCUUUCUAUGUAAAAAAUAUUGAGAAUCAUAUAACACAAAAACUAGUGAAAGAAACACAACAAACCUCCCAGAGUCGUUGUACAUUAUAAUUCACAUCAAUAUAAACAGCUCCAGCUACAGCAUCUACAAGAUUAGCAAGAGUUUUUGGGGCUUUCACAGAUCUGUAUGGAUCUGUAUCAGAAUCAUCUUCUUUGCCAAUCAACUCUAUGAACUCUGUAAUCUAAGAGAUGACAUAAAAACUGAUGAGCAUAUCAUAAGAAGAGAGAUGUUCUCAACGCACAAGAAGUAGAUAUUAAUUUACCAUUUUUUCUGGCUUUUGAACAUUGCGUAAACAUAAUUCGCUGAUGCCUUUUUUGACAGCGACACGAGCGCAUCUGUCGUUACAUGUAUUUGCAUCUCGCAACAUAGACAAAUCCUUCGGUCCCAGCUUAGGGUAUGUGAGGUACAAGUGUUUCAUAAAGGCAAGAGAAAGAGCUGGCUCACCGACUGAGAUAAGUCGCUGGAAAGGUGAACCAUUGUGUGUUAGCACAUCUUUUAGAAGAUUCUUAUUCACGAAACUGUAAUUCAAGAUCUUCUCCAAUGCUUCAGCUGAAUCAGAAUCCAUAUCUGAGCUAACGAGAGAUGGAUUCUUCGUAUCUAAACUUUUCGGCAUUUGCAGAUUACUUAUGACAAGAGUCAUUAGAGAAGAAUCCAAGGCUCUUAUCAUGUGGUGAGCUGAGGAGUUCUCUGCUUGCUUUUUCUUUGAUUUCAAAUCUCCCUUCAUGUGAAAAGCACCUUCUACAGUUGGGAUCUCAAUCUUCACUGAACAAACAAAUCUCGGCUCAUUUUUUGGCCCUUUUUGUUCCUCAACACUGGAAAGAGUUAAACACAGUAACAAAAGUGUUAAGUCAAUAUGGCACAUUCAUGCUUAUCUUUGUUUGAGAUUAUAAGACUCUUGAUUACUCAUGGUCCUUGUAAAGUAGUGUGUAGUACUUAGAAAAAGAAAAGUCCUACUAAAGCAACGAAACAAGUAGGAAUAAGAUAUACCUAUAAAUCGGCUUCGGCCAUUUAUUCUUGCUGCAAAUCGCCAACAACUUCCCUUUCACGUCUUCCGGUUCAACAUUUAGACUAUCCUUAUCAACAACCAUUUGUUUUGUUGUCAUUUCAUAGGUUAACAUGUUCUCAGAGGCAGUGGGCAACGAAGAUGAUCCAGUCUGUAUCUGGAGCUUUCUACUAUAACAAACCUCAAACAACUUCCCUUUCGCAUCAUCAUGUUCAACAUGUGGACUAUCCUCAUCAAUAACCAUUUCUUCUUGUCUCAUUUCAUCAGCUAAAGGCUUCUCAGAGGCAGUAGUAGCUGCAGAAGAUAAUUCAGUCUGUGAUUCGAGCUUUUCAGUGGAGAAAAUCUCAAACGACUUCCCUUUUGCAUUAUUUGGACUAUUCUCACCAAUAAUCUUUUCAAUGGGCAUACAUUCUGACAACUUCAGCAACGCUCCAUCAGCAGCAAGCUGCUUCGCGGUAUCUAGACGUUUAGCACACCCGGAAGCUAUAAAUAUACCAUCAAGAUAUACCUCAGCAACAUUUUUGUUGCUGCUUUCUUCAUCUUUCGAAUACCUGAAGUCGAUUCGCUUGCCGUGUUUAUCAGCCAAACGAAAAAGCGUAAGGAACGGUGGCUUAGGUUGCUGCCGUAAAUCAUCCGGUGUAUAAAUUGGCUCAAAAAGACCCCUGAAGAUCUGCAAAAAGUUCCUAACUUGAGAAUCAUAUAAACAUAGAAUUGGAAACACAAAAUCAAGAGAAGAACAAACACAACAGACCUCCCAAAGUCUUAGUUCAUCAAAAUUGACAUCAAUAUAAACAGCUCCAGCUAUUGACUCUACAAUGUCAGCAAGAACUUUUGGAGCUUUCACCAAUCCACCAUACGGAACAGGAUCAGCUUCUUUGCUCACAGCCUCUGAGAACUCUUUAAUCUAAGAUAUAGACAGCCAAAAUCAAAACACUUGUUCUAAAAAUCAGAUUUUUAUUUUCUAAUUUUGUGAAAAACUGAAACUUUAGAUGAUGACCUUUGUGAAAAGAGAAGGGUUGUGGCGUAAAAGGAAUUGGUAGAGGUUGUGAUUGACGGCGACACGAGCGAACUUCUCGUUACUGACAUUGGCAGUUCGCAACUCACGAAACUCCUUGAGUUUGAGGUUAGGGUAAGUGUUGUGAAUGUAAUUAGUGAAGGUGACCUCAAGAACAGAGUCGCCGAGUAACUCAAGCCGAUCGAAUAAAGGAGAUGUUUGAGUUAAGGCAUCCUUGAGAAGAGUCUUGUUCACGAAACUGUAGUUCAAUAUCUUCUCCGCUGCUUGCACUGAUGAGUCCAUCUCCGGCGAAAAAGGCUGAUUUAGCAGGUCCCUAGAUACGCGGAAAAGUUAUAUAAACCCCGACAUUUGUUAAUAACAUGAGUUUUAAGCUUUUUGAGAUUUUAACCCUUAAACUUUAGUUUUGAUAAUUUGAACCCCUGUACAAUUUUUUUUUUUGAACCCCUGUACUAUUUAAAACCAUGAAUUUAAACACUUACAGUUUAUUUUCCAGAAUUUAAAAGCCAUGUAACUUUAACUUACUUACAAGUAAUGAAGAAAGAAGAAAAACACACAAAUUUCCUAGUUGUGCAUUUGCCUUACUAAACUAGGCGAGCCUCUUCUUCUCACUCACAUAUCAACACUAUAUAAGACGAUAAUAAUAUACAGUUUUCGAAUGAUUCAAAAACGAUAUGUGUAUAAAGUUAUCUAAGCUAAUGGUGGCUCAAAAGUACAUAUCUAACAUUACAAGUCGUCCUUCAGAGAAAAUUCCAAGGCUCUUAACAUGUGUGUGGCUGAGGAGUUUUCUGCUGUCUUUUUCAGUUUUCUUCUAUCUCCCUUGGCGUAUAAGGUACCUUCUGCAGUUGGUGUCUCAAUCAUAGCUGAACAAACAAACCCCCCAGGUUGUUCAUAGUUCACAACACUGAACACAGUCAAACAAAAAUAUGGUUUAAGGCACACACAACAAAAAGAACCAACCUCAAUUGAUCUUUAGAGCAUAUGUACAUUUUCUCUACCCUUAGAUUGUAAGAUAAUUCAAUUAUGGAUUCGCAAAUGCGCUCUGGUUAUAGAUUAGAUAUAAUCGAUUUUCACGAGCUUUUGGCUAAAGUAAAGCAAAACAAGAGAUAAUUUGACAUCUCAAGUGUGUAGGACUAAGAUACCUGUAAACCGGGUUUGGCCACUUUCUCUUGUUGCAAAUUUUAAUCAAUUUGUCUUUUGCAUCUUCAAUUUCAGUGUCUAGUCUAUCCUCCUCCAUAUUUAUUUCAACGGGCAUACUUUCUGAUAACUUCUGUAAUGCUUCCUUAGCAGCGCUCAUCUUCGCGGCAUCUCUAGUACUUUUCUUUUUCCCACGAGCUAUAAACUUAUCAUCAAGGUAUACGUAAGCUUUAGUAGCCCCGUUGCCAUUUUCCUUAUACCUGAAGUCGAAAUGCUUGUCGUGCUUUUUACCCAAAGAGAAAAGGGUACAGAGUGGUUGAGGUUGCAACCGCAAAUCAUCCAAUGUAUCUAGUGGCUCGAAAAGACCCCUGAAGAUCUGCAGAUUUGCUUCUAUUAUUUAAUAACUUGAGAAUCAUAUUGAAUUAGAAACUAAAUCUAGUGGAGAACACAACAUACCUCCCAGAGUCUUUUAACAUCAAAAUUCAUAUCAAUAAAAACAGCUCCAGCUACAGAAUCUACAAGGUCAGAGACUACUUUUGGGAGUUUCGCCGAUUGAGGAACUGGGUCAUUCUCUUUGUCUCCCACCUCUGAGAACACUUUAAUCUAAAAGAUGACACCAAAACUGUGGUUAUCAAUCAAGCAAAGAUAAUACAGAACUGAUAACUACAAGAAAUGGUUAGUAACCUUUUUAUCUAACUUGAAUUUGCGGUAAAAGAAUUGGUAAAUGCUGUGUUUGACGACAUUUUUGUUUCUUGUAUUUGCUUCUCGCAACAUAUUCAUCUCACUGGCAUCGAACUUAGGGUACAUGAGGUAUAUGUGAUUGGUGAAGGCGAGUUUUAGAGCUGCCUCGCCGACGAACAUCAGCCGUUCGAAUAGAUAAGAAUUUUGUGAUAGCGCUCCAUUCAGAAGACCCUUGUUCGUGAAAAUGUAAUUCAAGAUCUUCUCCACUCCUUCUACUGAAUCAGAUUUCUUCUUCGAGCCACAGAGAUAUGAUUCCUUCUUCUCAUUAAUUUUGUCCGGCAUUUGCAGAUUACUUAUGGCUCUUAUCAUGUGGUAAGCUGAUGAGUUAACAGCUUGCUUUAUCUUUGAUUUUGCAUCUCCCUUUAUGAGAAACGUACCUUCUAUUGUUGGGAUCUGAAUUUUAACUGAACAGACUAUUUUCUGCUCAUUUUUUGGCUCUCUUUCUUCUUCAACGCUGGAAAGAGUUCAACACAGUAACAAAAAGACGUUUUUAAGAUGAUCCAGCAUAUUCGUGCUUAUUGAGGCAAGUAAGAAACAAAAACCCAAACUCACUUUGAUCUUAGAUGUAUAGUGUUUUAUAGCAUACAUGUGAUUUCUCUACCCUAGAUGGUACACGUUUCAUUAUGGUUAGCAAAGGAACUCUCCUUUGAGAUUAUACGACUCUAGAUUACUCAAAGAUAUCAAUAUGACUCUGGAUCAUGGUCCUUGUUGAGCAGUAAGUAGUAAAAAGAAAAGAAAUUUUCCUGCUUAAUCAAAGAAAAAUGUAGGGAUAAGAUAUACCUGAAUAUUGGCAACGGCCACUUUUUCUUGGAACAAAACUCAAUCAACUUCCCUUUUGCCUUGUCAAGUUCAACAUGUGAGCUAUCCACAUCACGAACCAUAUGUUCUUGUUUCAUUUCACUGGUUAAAAGGUUCUUAGGUGCGGCAGACAAAGAAGAUGAUUCAGUUUGUAAGCGGAGUUUUUUAGUGGAGCAAAUCUCAAACGACUUCCGUUUUACAUCCUCAGGCUCAACAUGUGGAC
rnacentral:lncRNA from 1 species